GAUGAAGAACGCAGCGAAAUGCGAUACGUAGUGUGAAUUGCAGAAUUCAGUGAAUCAUAGAAUCUUUGAACGCACAUUGCACCUCUCGGUAUUCCGGGAGGUAUGCCUGUUCGAGCGUCAUUUGUACCCUCAAGCUCUGCUUGGUGUUGGGUGUUUGUUCCGCCUCUGUGUGUGAACUCGCCUCAAAACAAUUGGCAGCCGGCGUACUUGUUUCGGAGCGCAGCACAUUUUGCGAUCCAGAUCAACGUACAGCGGCAUCCAAGAACCCUUAUUUAACGCUCUUGACCUCGGAUCAGGUAGGGAUACCCGCUGAACUUAAGCAUAUCAAUAAGCGGAGGA
rnacentral:misc_RNA from 1 species